UGCCAGCCGCCGCGGUAAUACGAAGGGACCUAGCGUAGUUCGGAAUUACUGGGCUUAAAGAGCUCGUAGGUGGUUAAAAAAGUUGAUGGUGAAAUCCCAAGGCUUAACCUUGGAACUGCCAUCAAAACUUUUUAGCUAGAGUGUGAUAGAGGCAAGUGGAAUUUCUAGUGUAGAGGUGAAAUUUGUAGAUAUUAGAAAGAAUACCAAUUGCGAAGGCAGCUUUCUGGAUCAUUACUGACACUGAGGAACGAAAGCUAGGGUAGCAAAUGGGAUUAGAUA
rnacentral:rRNA from 1 species